CAGUCCCCAGUGCCUUCGAUCCAUUCACAGAGGCAAAUGCAGAGGAUUCAGGAGCUGGGGCAAAGGAGUACGUGCAUGUGCGCAUACAACAACGGAAUGGAAGGAAAAACCUGACCACCGUGCAAGGUUUGAAGAAAGAAUACAGCUAUACCAAGAUCUUGAAGAAUCUGAGGAAGGAAUUUUACUGCAAUGGCACCGUUGUCCAGGACCCUGAUCUGGGCCACGUAUCUUUUACCUUCUUCAUCCUAAUCUGCUUGGCUAUUUCAUUCUCUUCUCCAGUUGGUUCAGUAAUUUUGUUCUUU